GAGUGUGUAAAAACUCACCUGCCGAAUGAAUUAGCCCUGAAAAUGGAUGGCGCUAAAGCGGGUAGCCGACACCAUGCCGUCUGUUUAACAGAUAACAGAUGAGUAGGAGGGCGUGGUGGCCGUAUCGAAGCAUGCGUGCGAACGCGUGUGGAACGGCCACUAGUGCAGAUCUUGGUGGUAGUAGCAAAUAUUCAAGCGAGAUCCUUGAAGGGCGAAGCGGGGAAGGGUUCCACGCGAACAUUGAUUGGGCGUGGGUGAGUCGUUCCUAAGCCGAGUGGUCAUGGCUAAAUACCGGCGAAAGGGAAGCGGGUUGAAAUUCCCGCACACGGAUGUGGAGGCGGUGACGCUUUAUUGAGGCGAAUACGCUGGCGGUGGCGCUGGGCAGAGAUGUCUUUUCUGUUUAACCAUUAUCGAGCUGUGUGGAAUCCGCUUGUCGGGAGAAACACGCUUGAAAGGGAAGAGCGCCGGGCUUUUCCGGCGUCCAGCUCGCCACCGACGGCCCUUGAAAAUUUGCCUGCAGAAUAAAAUCCACGCCGUGGCGUACCGAUAACCGCAUCAGGUCCCCAAGGUGAACAGCCUCUGUCCAAUAUGAAAAAUGCAGGU
rnacentral:rRNA from 1 species